CCUUCAAGAAUGUAGUUACCGUCUGCU
rnacentral:piRNA from 1 species